GUUUAAACAUUCUUCACGUACGCGGCCAUUUGCCACGCUCUUAACGUAAUCGAUUGCACUACACACUGCACCAGUAGAUCUUAAUUAAUCCGAUCUAAUAUAAAAUUAUGAUAUACAUAUUAAUUAUAAAUAUAAGAGACGCAGAUAUGGUUGCUGCUAUUUCACUUAUAAUUAAAAAGCAAACGUGCAUCAUACGCGCAUAUGUUAUCCUGCUUAUUACAAAUAAAUAUUUUGAAAUAAUAAUCGAAAUAAUAA